rnacentral:rRNA from 1 species
AGGGAAUCUUCCACAAUGGACGAAAGUCUGAUGGAGCAACGCCGCGUGAGUGAUGAAGGGUUUCGGCUCGUAAAACUCUGUUGUUGGAGAAGAACGGGUGUCAGAGUAACUGUUGACAUCGUGACGGUAUCCAACCAGAAAGCCACGGCUAACUACGUGCCAGCAGCCGCGGUAAUACGUAGGUGGCAAGCGUUGUCCGGAUUUAUUGGGCGUAAAGCGAGCGCAGGCGGUUUUUUAGGUCUGAUGUGAAAGCCUUCGACUUAACCGGAGAAGUGCAUCGGAAACCGGGAGACUUGAGUGCAGAAGAGGACAGUGGAACUCCAUGUGUAGCGGUGAAAUGCGUAGAUAUAUGGAAGAACACCGGUGGCGAAGGCGGCUGUCUGGUCUGCAACUGACGCUGAGGCUCGAAAGCAUGGGUAGCGAACAGGAUUAGAUACCCUGGUAGUCCAUGCCGUAAACGAUGAGUGCUAAGUGUUGGAGGGUUUCCGCCCUUCAGUGCUGCAGCUAACGCAUUAAGCACUCCGCCUGGGG